GCCUACACAUGCAAGUCGAACGCGAAAGGUCUUCGGACUGAUUGAGUGGCGCACGGGUGAGUAACACGUAGGUAAUCUACCCUUUGGCGGGGGAUAACGUUCCGAAAGGGACGCUAAUACCGCAUAAGACCACACGGGCUCCGGCUCGAGUGGGAAAAGGUGGCCUCUUCUUGAAAGCUACCACCGGAGGAUGAGCCUGCGUCCCAUCAGCUAGUUGGUAAGGUAAUGGCUUACCAAGGCGAAGACGGGUAGCUGGUUUGAGAGAAUGAUCAGCCACACUGGCACUGGAACACGGGCCAGACUCCUACGGGAGGCAGCAGUGAGGAAUAUUGGGCAAUGGGCGAAAGCCUGACCCAGCCACGCCGCGUGAGUGAUGAAGGCCUUCGGGUCGUAAAGCUCUGUGGAGAGGGACGAAAACCCUGGUUUCAAAUAGACUCCAGGCUUGACGGUACCUCUUUAGCAAGCACCGGCUAACUCUGUGCCAGCAGCCGCGGUAAUACAGAGGGUGCAAACGUUGCUCGGAUUUACUGGGCGUAAAGCGCGUGUAGGCGGGUUCGCAAGUCGGACGUGAAAUCCCUGGGCUCAACCCAGGAACUGCGUUCGAAACUGCGAAUCUAGAGUAGUGGAGAGGAAAGUAGAAUUCCCGGUGUAGAGGUGAAAUUCGUAGAUAUCGGGAGGAAUACCAGUGGCGAAGGCGGCUUUCUGGACACUUACUGACGCUGAGACGCGAAAGCGUGGGGAGCAAACAGGAUUAGAUACCCUGGUAGUCCACGCUGUAAACGAUGUGUGCUAGGUGUCGCGGAAUUUGACUUCUGCGGUGCCGUAGCUAACGCGUUAAGCACACCGCCUGGGGAGUACGGCCGCAAGGCUA
rnacentral:rRNA from 1 species